CUUUAUUCAUGAUUGAGUUCAAUCGAUUGCUAAUUUGGAACCUAACUAAUCCUUCUAAUGAGAACACAUCCAAGUCGGACAGCAGGCUGAUUGCAACUAAUGCAAAUUGACACUUCUUCAUCUGGAUCGUGCUGAGCUUUUGUCAUUUUCUGCAAGAAGGCACUGGAGACUUAUUCAUUCAAUGUUUCAGAACUUCGAAUCUACUCAUUGCCAACAACAGUUAUGAACAAGUCUGUCGCGGCAAGGAACAUUAUCAGAACUGCACUGCAGAGCAUCUAUCGAUUUUUGGAUUAAGGGUGAAAUCCACAACACGGAAUGUAUGACAUCUAAUGGAACAUGGAUCAAUAAAGAUUGGUGA